UGGGGAAUAUUGCACAAUGGGCGCAAGCCUGAUGCAGCCAUGCCGCGUGUAUGAAGAAGGCCUUCGGGUUGUAAAGUACUUUCAGUCGGGAGGAAGGUGUCAAGGUUAAUAACCUUGGCAAUUGACGUUACCGACAGAAGAAGCACCGGCUAACUCCGUGCCAGCAGCCGAGGUAAUACGGAGGGUGCAAGCGUUAAUCGGAAUUACUGGGCGUAAAGCGCACGCAGGCGGUUGAUUGAGUCAGAUGUGAAAUCCCCGGGCUUAACCCGGGAAUUGCAUCUGAUACUGGUCAGCUAGAGUCUUGUAGAGGGGGGUAGAAUUCCAUGUGUAGCGGUGAAAUGCGUAGAGAUGUGGAGGAAUACCGGUGGCGAAGGCGGCCCCCUGGACAAAGACUGACGCUCAGGUGCGAAAGCGUGGGGAGCAAACAGG
rnacentral:rRNA from 1 species